rnacentral:lncRNA from 1 species
GACAGAACGGGCAAGAGGAUUCCAGAGAUGCUGGGGGCAGGGGGCAUCAGGGGCUGUAACCACUGAUGAGAUGUGGGCGGUGAGGAAGAGGAAGGCGUCCAGGGUCAUUUCCUGGUCACCACACAGGUACUGGAGAAGGGCAGUGCCAUUAUGAGGACACGGAGAGAGUGGCAGGAGCAGCAAGGAGGUGGGAGGACUGUCUGAUCCUGUCGGUGCCACGGAGCCAGAAGCCCACAGGAGAAAUGGGAGGUGGCGGCCUGGAACAGGACUAGGACAACUGCGCGAGGGAAAGGCGAGCUGCGGGCGCCUGGGCGCGGGCGGGGCGCAUUUCAUCCCGCCCUGCUCCGGCCUUGGGGGACGCCUCCCCGCCCUGGGCUGGAGCCCGACUGGCA